GAUGAGCGCUAGCGGCAGGCUUAAUACAUGCAAGUCGUGGGGCAGCAUGAAUGUAGCAAUACAUUUGAUGGCGACCGGCAAACGGGUGCGGAACACGUACACAACCUUCCUAUAAGUGGGGAAUAGCCCAGAGAAAUUUGGAUUAAUACCCCGUAACAUAACGAUGUGGCAUCACAUUGUUAUUAUAGCUUCGGCGCUUAUUGAUGGGUGUGCGGCUGAUUAGAUAGUUGGCGGGGUAUCGGCCCACCAAGUCUACGAUCAGUAGCUGAUGUGAGAGCAUCAUCAGCCACACGGGCACUGAGACACGGGCCCAGCUCCUGCGGGAGGCAGCAGUAAGGAAUAUUGGUCAAUGGACGCAAGUCUGAACCAGCCAUGCCGCGUGAAGGAUUAAGGUCCUCUGGAUUGUAAACUUCUUUUAUCUGGGACGAAAAAAGGCUUUUCUAAGUCACUUGACGGUACCAGAUGAAUAAGCACCGGCUAACUCCGUGCCAGCAGCCGCCGUAACAC
rnacentral:rRNA from 1 species